CUGCUUCUAAUGUUGCAGAAUCGAAAACUGGCACAUUAUACUGAGGUACAGGGGAAUCUGGUGAGAGUACCCUGAAUUCAUUAAUAGAUCCUGUUGAUUCAGGUGAUGCUGGUCUAUCAUCAAGAUGUAAAGAUUCAGGAAACAAUUCAGAAUCAUUCUCUGACAACUGUGACUCAGGUGAGGCUGAUCUAUACCCUGCUUCUAAUGUUGCAGAAUCGAAAACUGGCACAUUAUACUGAGGUACAGGGGAAUCUGGUGAGAGUACCCUGAACUCAUUAAUAGAUCCUGUUGAUUCAGGUGAUGCUGGUCUGUCAUCAAAAUGUAAAGAUUCAGGAGACAAUUCAGAAUCAUUCUCUGACAACUGUGACUCAGGUGAGGCUGAUCUAUACCCUGCUUCUAAUGUUGCAGAAUCGAAAACUGGCACAUUAUACUGAGGUACAGGGGAAUCUGGUGAGAGUACCCUGAACUCAUUAAUAGAUCCUGUUGAUUCAGGUGAUGCUGGUCUGUCAUCAAAAUGUAAAGAUUCAGGAGACAAUUCAGAAUCAUUCUCUGACAACUGUGACUCAGGUGAGGCUGAUCUAUACCCUGCUUCUAAUGUUGCAGAAUCGAAAACUGGCACAUUAUACUGAGGUACAGGGGAAUCUGGUGAGAGUACCCUGAACUCAUUAAUAGAUCCUGUUGAUUCAGGUGAUGCUGGUCUAUCAUCAAGAUGUAAAGAUUCAGGAAACAAUUCAGAAUCAUUCUCUGAUAACUGUGAUUCAGGAGAGGCUGAUCUAUACCCUACCGCUAAUA